rnacentral:lncRNA from 1 species
AGGUUCUCGUAGGACGAAGGCGGCUUGACAGAGUCUAUGUGCCACCGCUCAAGAUGCAGAAACUCAACCAAAACGCCCCACAGCUUUCGUCCUCAUGCUUUCAAGGAGGCAAGAAACCCCUGGCAAGCAUCGCUACAAAUGUUGGGUCUCAGUCAUCAACUGCUUUGAGAACUACCUGUCUAUCCAGCACG